AUGCCCCCACUGCUGGGUACCCCCCAGGGCUUGGCCCACAGGAGGUACUCAGGGAACAGAAAGGAAACUGGCUCUUUAAGGAACUUCUUGGAACUCGCCCAGCAAAGUUUGCAACAGAAGGCAUUCUGGAAUCCUAGAAUGAGUGCCCAUCUCUUGGCAGGAAGCCUACACGUCCUUCAGUCCUUCAGUCCAGCCUUCUGCCUGCUGCUUCAGACCCAAAACAUCCUGUUUGUCCAGCAGUCAGCUAGGAGCCGGAGCCACGGUGGUGAACACGCCAUCAGGACGCGGCAAGAAGCAGGAAGCCCAUCACUUGAUGAGACAAAUACUUAUCAACGCAGCCCAUCUCUUGUGCCCUUUGCAUCUCGUUCCACAUUGCCAUUGGCUGUGAAGGUCAUCCCUUUUAAGUGGCACCUCACUUCAGAUGGGAGAAACAUCUGUUCCAGAAUAGAACAUCGGUGGGUGCCUGGCCAGCAGCACUCACUUACACAGAAGGGCAUCAGGCGCUCCACCUACUCUGCCUAG
rnacentral:lncRNA from 1 species